AGGAAGACUGAGAAGCUGUAGCUGGUACCCUUGUCCAGGAAGAUGCGCUCGGGCAGCUCGUUCUCGGCCUUAAGGUCGUAGAUCUUUUCGUAGCUGGUCAUGUCAACGUGCACACUGCCCGCGCUCCGCCAGUUGCUGGCCAGCCUCGGAAGCACCGAGGCGGCUCUGCUCUGCUCCGCCCUCCGCCGCGGUUCUCCGGCUUAGAAGCCCCUGCGAUAACGCCUCAGGCAGGAUGGCGCCCACCCGGACGACGCCCACCUUGUCGUACUUCGAGUGCAGCGACAGCAGGUUCAGCCCCUGGACAUAUUCAUCUGCUUGUCCCUCAGCCCCUCAGAACAGAGUUCUGGACCGCAUCCUAGACUCUCCCCGACCCCUCCACGGUACUCAACCUUCUAAGGGUUCUUCCACCUCACUCCUCCACCACUCCCAGCUGCCUCCCUGGGCGAGGAUCCUCUGCAGGUGAGCAGAAGGAUGUAAAAAUCUGAUCAUGAAGUUCAAGUUCCUCCCUACGACCACCAGGGUCACCUUUUCCGCCUGGUCUCCAGGGCACUUCAAUGGCAAUGCAUUCUAUCCAUACUACUCUCCCUCUCAGUUCUUCAUCACCCAAUCUCCUUUCCACUUGGCACAAGUGGUUCCCCCUGUCUGGAACACCCUUCUCCAUCUACCACCUCGUCAGUUCUCCUCACCCUUCAUGCACAUCUUCUCUUUGAAGCCCUCCCUGAUGCACCUUGCCCCCAGGCUGGGUUAGACCCCUCCUCCUUUGAGCCCAAAGGCUGUCACUGGGGAUGGCUUGGUCUCCCCUCCCCACCCCACCCCCCCACCCCAGAAUGGGAGCUUCAGACAGCAGUGCCUAAGGCUCUCUGACUAUCUCUGUGGUUCAGUAUCUUCUCACCCUUGCCGCUCCAAGACAUAUUCAUUAUUGAUCUGCUGGUACAUCAGUAGCUGCUCCACGGGCAUGAGCCUCUUGACGAGCCUGCCCUGCUGGUUGUCUAUCAGGUACACCAGCUGCAGUGGGAAGGCAAGGGCCACGUGAGCUGGUGUCAGCCACCCUGCAGCUCCCCCAUGUCUCGCCCGCGCCAUCCCCCCACCCUGGCACCUGGUACAGUUUGUUGUCUUCGUAGAAGAGGGUGACCAUGGUCUCAUUGGGGGCGUAGCGAGAGGACUGCUGAAGAACCUGGAGGCUGAUGUACACCUCCCAGGCCUUGGACGGGAACAGCUGGUACACCUGGUAGCUGCCCUCCAGCAGGUACCAGAUCUGGGGGUGUGACAGCCGGGUGUGUGCGUGAGGCCCGGGGGUGCUGUGACCACCCCCCGCCCCGAGGGGUGAGGACCCCACUCCCUGAGGGGUGAGUCUUGGGUGCUCACCUCCGGCUGGGACCAGGUGAGCCAUCUUUCUGCUUCUCAGACCCAGCCACCUCUGCUUCCAGCCCUCACUCCCCAUGAUACAUUUCCUCAGUGUUUCAGUCUGCUUGGGUUUUUAUUACUUGCAAUGUAACCAUUCCUUAUAUACAUACUGCCAGAAGGCUGGGGAUCUGAGGGCUAAGCCCUCUUUUUCCCUUCUCACCCUUCCUAAGAUUCUUUUUUAAUGUGGACCAUUUUUAAAAUUGUUAUUGGAUUUGUUACAAUACUGCUUCUGUUUUCUGUUUUGGUUUUUUGGCCCUGAGACAUGUGCGAUCUCAGCUGCCCGACCAGGGAUCGAACCCGCACCUGCUGCAGUGGAAGGUGAAGUCCUAACCACUGGAUGGCCAGGGAAGUCUCCCUUCUCGCUCUUUGCCCCCUUCAGGGUCUCAGCAUCCCCUUGGCCUCAGUUUCCCACCUCUGCACUGAUGCCCACCAUCUCAUCCCCUAACACAUUUGUUUGUAGACCAAACCUCCUCCUUAGCUUCAGCUUGGAGGAUCCUCUCCAGCCUCCAGCACAUCCCCCCUCCAUGUGGCCUUCUCUAUGAAGCCCUCCCUGACGCAUAUACCCCCAGACAGCGUCUGAACUUCCAUGGGUGCUGUUUUCCUCACUGCAGCCUUGGCUGCUCUGAACUGUCACUGUCUGGGAAUGAAUCCAUCCUCCCAACUGGCCUGGGACCCUGUGAGAGCAGGGCCCACAGCUGACUCCUUGGCCACUAUGUCUCCAGCAGUGGAUCAGGUGUUCUGAGCUCCAUGGCGGAAUGAAAGAGGGCCCCCUCUGGACAUCCCCUCGUGACUCUGAGCACACGCCCUUUACCCUGCUGAGUAACUUUGGAAAAGACACCUCCUUUUUGAGUUCGAGGAUUCUCAGCUAUAAAUGGAGCUUCUGCUGCCCUUCCAUUCCCCAGGGUCCCUGAGAAUGUUCCCUCUCCUGGGCCCUUUUACCCUGAUGGGGGUGGGGGAGAAGAGAGACCCCUGGGCUUUGUGGCUGGGCAGAAAGGAAGUGGGGAGAGGGGCAGGGCAGUCCACCUCCUCAUUCUCGGUGACAAUGGCCAUGUCCCCUCGGAACGAGUUCACCAGGUACUUGAUGGAUAGCUCCUUGGGAAAGUCCGCCAGGUAAAUGAAGUUUUCACUGUUAAAACUGAAAGGGCAGAGGUGGGAGGUCAGGACACCCAGGUGAGGCCCGGAGAUUAUCUGCUUCCCUGACUAGUCCUGACAUGCCGCUGCGGGAACCAUCUACUCGCUUCUCCGCCAGCCUGAUGAGAACGCACAAAGGAAGCCUGGGACUCCUUUCUGCCCCCCACCUCCAAACCCUCUGGCUGACCUGCCCAUCCAUAAACAGGAGCGUUCAACCAAAAUCUGCCAACCCCCCACAGAGUUGGCUCUGGGUCCUCCAGCUUCCCGAAGGGUGAAAAGCAUCCUACCCUCUGCCUGGGCCAUGUCCCUCUAUUGCUCACACAGGUUGGGUCCUCAUAGCAGGUUUUAUUUAAGAAAGGAUUCCCACCACUGGGACCACCCUCAUGGUCCAGUGGCUAAGAAUCUGCCUGCCAAUACAGAGGAUGUGAGUUCAGUCCCACAUGCUGCAGAGCAACUAAGCCUGGGCACCACAACUAAUAAGGCCCAGUGCCUCAGCUAUUGAAAUUCUCAUGCCUAGAGCCGGAGCUCCACGACAAGAGAAGCCACUGCAAUGAGAAGCCCGUGCACCGUGACAAAGAAUAGGCCCUGCUCACUGCGACUAGAGAAAAGUCCAUGCAUAGCAACCAAGACCCAGUGGAGCCAAAAAUAAAUAAGGAUAAAGUGUC